rnacentral:misc_RNA from 1 species
AAGUCGUAACAAGGUAUCCGUAGGUGAACCUGCGGAUGGAUCAUUAACAAUUGUCUCGCCAUUUUGGCAGCCAAUCUCACCACAUGUGCACCGCGGGCGUUUGCUCUAGCAGCAGCGCUCGCACAAACAUUUUCAACCAAACCAAAACAAAACAAUUAUAUAUAAAAGCAUAAAACUUUUAGCAACGGAUCUCUAGGCUCUC